AAGAGGACAAUUAUCUUAUUAUGAUAUUAUAAAAAUCAGCUUAUUACAUUAACAUGUUUCAAGCGUUUUAAUUUACUUUUAUUUGUGAAGUUUAUCUAUCACAGGUGGAGACAUACGCACAUACGAAACGGCAAAAAAGACGUUAAAAUCUGGUUUAAGAGCAAAAAAACUACCUGUGCCAAUCAGUUUUUGCCAUUUAUGGGCUUUACCCUAUAAAAGAAAACCAUUUUAUGCAUUUAAAUGACCUUACACGUUAUCAGUUUAUUAAGCGUUUAGACUAUGUAGACACACUCACUGUGCACUAAAAUUAAAAAAAUUGGUUAACACGACCACUCGUGGUGGCUUCACUCAGAGGUUGGAGAAGACAACCGGUGGACUAAACAUCAAGCCUCUGCACGAUUCAGGUAAGUGGAAUAAAAUACAUUGUAAAUAAACAUUAUUAAAACAGAUUGUGAAGUCAUUCAUUCAAAACUUGCUAUGACCUAAGCCUAAAUGACUUAAUUUCUUUUUAGAAUUAAGACAACCUUAGCAGGAGAGCCCCAGCAGUAACUUUCUCUCAAGCAGAUGAGCAAUAAGUUGCUUUGUAUGAACACCACCCUAACAAUCAAGUAGCCUGUUAACAGUAGACCAAAGGUAUGAUGAUCAAUUAUAAAUGCAAUAUGGUUGAAAGGUCAGUAAACAAACAACAAAAAGGUAAUUUCUUAAUAGAAUGUCUAUACAUUUUUUGCUUUUGUUACAUAUUUCAUACAUCAAAAUCAUUAAACGUUAAUAAUUAUGUAUUCCAACUUGUUGCAGCUUGACAAAAAUGUAGCUUGAAGGAGAAGGGACAGCUGAGUAACAAAGUCCUGGUACGCAGACGACGAUACUAUUACACUGACAAGAGUGUAAUGAUGAUGGAGACACAAGCCAGAGAAAGGGGGGACCAAACACCAGGCCAGAAUUCUGCAUGAGUCAGAUCCAGUGGGUGCAGAUCAUCAUACAGAUGGUUCAAGUGUGGAUCCACCUAAUAUUCAAGAUUUUCUGUCCUGGGACACUUGGCUAACCAUCAAGAAAGAACACAGUAGGUUAACAAGAAUCUGA